rnacentral:rRNA from 1 species
CGCAGCCGCGGUAAUUCCAGCUCCAAUAGCGUAUAUUAAAGUUGUUGCAGUUAAAAAGCUCGUAGUUGAAUUUCGGGAUCAAUACGUCGGUCGUGCUCCGGCACGUACUAUCGUCAUUGGUUUCUCCCUUCUGACGAACCAUGAUGCCAUUAAUUUGGUGUUAUGGGAAAUCAGGACUGUUACUUUGAAAAAAUUAGAGUGUUUAAAGCAGGUUCACGCUUGAAUACAUUAGCAUGGAAUAAUGAAAUAGGACGUUCGACCCUAUUUUGUUGGUUCUAGGAUCAACGUAAUGAUUAAUAGGGAUAGUUGGGGGCAUUAGUAUUCAAUUGUCAGAGGUGAAAUUCUUGGAUUUAUUGAAGACUAACUACUGCGAAAGCAUUUGCCAAGGAUGUUUUCAUUAAUCAAGAACGAAAGUUAGGGGAUCGAAGACGAUCAGAUACCGUCGUAGUCUUAACCAUAAACUAUGCCGACUAGGGAUCGGAUGAUGUUAAUUUUUUAAUGACUCAUUCGGCGCCUUACG